rnacentral:rRNA from 1 species
UACGUAGGUGGCAAGCGUUGUUCGGAAUUACUGGGCGUAAAGCGCGUGUAGGCUGCUUCGCAAGUCGGAUGUGAAAGCCCUGGGCUCAACCCAGGAAGUGCAUUCGAAACUGCAGAGCUGGAGUCCUGGAGAGGAAGGCGGAAUUCUCGGUGUAGAGGUGAAAUUCGUAGAUAUCGAGAGGAACACCGGUGGCGAAGGCGGCCUUCUGGACAGUGACUGACGCUGAGACGCGAAAGCGUGGGGAGCAAACAGG